rnacentral:rRNA from 1 species
UACGUAGGGUGCAAGCGUUAAUCGGAAUUACUGGGCGUAAAGCGUGCGCAGGCGGCUUUGCAAGACAGAUGUGAAAUCCCCGGGCUUAACCUGGGAACUGCAUUUGUGACUGCAAGGCUAGGGUACGGUAGAGGGGGAUGGAAUUCCGCGUGUAGCAGUGAAAUGCGUAGAUAUGCGGAGGAACACCGAUGGCGAAGGCAAUCCCCUGGACCUGUACUGACGCUCAUGCACGAAAGCGUGGGGAGCAAACAGG